GGGUGUAUAGCUCAGUUGGUAGAGCGCUCGCUUUGCAUAUAUAAGCCUGCGAGAAGUCUGCGGUUCGAACCCGUAUUCAUCCA